GCUAGCUCUUACAGCAUGGAGACCCUGUGCGCAAAAGAAAAAAGCGAGGUAAAUUUACCUCUUCUCUCUCCUACCGAACUAAUCGGGAGAAAACCAACUCUACAGAUCGUGGGAGGGCUAUGCUAUUUCCCGCACCAUCUACCUACGCUGCCCGACCUGUUCGACACGCAGCCAUGGCGGUUCCCCUUCUCUGUAGGCUAACAGAGCAGGCCACUCCAUCCAAGCGGGCACGAGCCGGCUGCGGUGGCUCUGCGGUGGCUCUACUGAAGUGACGGCGCCAAGUUGGAUCGCGAUUUCGGCGGCGGAGCGGCGCUCGGCCGCGGCGAGGUGCUCCAUGAGCUCGAUAAGUUUCUUAUCUCUCUUCUUCCAUCCUCGUAUCCUUGAUUGAUCCUCGCCUCCCUGAUUGAUUUGGGCCCAUUGAUCUGGGUUGUUUUUUCAUUGACUAGGUAUGAAUAUGAUUGACAUACUUUUCAAGUUUGGUCACUGGCUCCCUGCACGCGCCCAUGAGCUCAAGCCCCGCCCCUUACCUCCCUCUAACUUGGCCGCCUCCAUGCCGUGUGGGCAAGUGCAGAAAAGUUAUGGUCUAUUUGGCGUGACGAGGUUGAGGGAAAUGUGUUGCAAACUAUGAUGUUCUCUUAACAUCCAAUUGAUUUGGUCAUAGAACUCGGCCGCCACUCCACAAUUGCAUAUGGUGGUUGCGAACAAACUUAUUUGUACAAUAAAGAAGCUAAUAUGUUUAAUCUUGUUAGAUACACUUGCGGAAUGCAGAAGCAGCUUCAUCAUUGUCUUUUUAUAUUUGGUAUUUUCUGACAUGAACUAUUGCAUCUACUGAGGUAAUUUCGUUGGGAAGCUUGCCAGACUAUCACAAAGUUCCUUUGUAGCUCAGGCUACACAGACUAUACGCUAGGCUCUCUACCGUAUGCAACAGUAUUUUUAUCAGUCUACAAACUAGUACUUAGAAUUCUUCUAUUUGGAAAUAACAAACAAAGGCAAACUUUAUUUCUUUUCUGAAAUUGUGUUCUGCAUGUUCAUCAUAUAUCACAGGUUCAUUUAUGGAGUUCUUGAAAGAAAAAAGGUACUGAUUGUGUGUGCAACUCUGCAUUACAUGAUUUAAAAUGUUGUUGCUUAUAUCAAUAAGAUUUUGGUCAAGAAAUAAAAAAGAACAGACAUAAUUGUCAAUACGCCGGGCUUUGUUUUGGAAUUAAAUGCUUUAGAUCUUGGAUGCCGCUUUUAUAUCCUUUGUUGUGUUCAAUCAGGUUUUAUUAGAUGAUCAAUUAAUCUUUGGUUGCGUCUCAGAAAAAAUGAUCUUUAGUUUGACAUAGUGUCAUCGGGUUGCAACUGAACAUGACACGAAACUGUUGUUCAAGGUGUUAAUGAUCUUCUGUCAGAUUUGUAUAUUAACAGAUUUGCUUGUUAAAAUCUUGUCAAGUUUCUUUGUGACAGUUACAGUUAAGCACAUUUCCAAAUAUAUUCUCUUGAUACGAAAGGCAUACAGGAAAGAGAUCAAAUUUUCAUUAUCAUUCUCGUGUAGCUUUGUGCAUACUUUUUGUUUAGCCAUUGGUGAAAUCUGCAAGCUUUCAUUGUAGGUGGUAAUUGAAUCAAGCAAUUCAGUAUGAACUAAUAGAGGGCAGGGGGUUCUACAGAUGGAGCAGCAUCAAGGACUGUGCCGUGAGGAAGCACGUGGAGUGGAGUCAUGGCAGCGCCGUGAUUCUCAUUUAACCAAUGAGAACAAACACAACCACAACCACGUCCAGCCCCCGACCUAUUGAUGCUCACCGUGAAUUCAGUAAAGCUUAACUGAAGCUACCAAUGCCAGAAGAAUAUAGAUGAACUCUAAAUUAUUAUGCCAUGGAUGGAACAUGUCAUUCAGCUGGUUUUGGUUAUUCAGUCUCACAAAAGAUUUGGAUGUAAGUGAAAUUUGUACCAGGAAGACAAAGAUAACAUUACCUGUCGUUUUCAUGAUGUAUAGUGAAUACUUGAUCUGGGCUGCAACACAUUUACCUUAUGAAUUAUUCUGUCGAUAAAAUCGUGCUUCUCAAAUUUCCUUG